UGGUCCAUGGUGUAAUGGUAACACUACGGUUUUUGGUGCCGUCUUUCUAGGUUCGAGUCCUAGUGGACCAACAA
rnacentral:tRNA from 4 species